ACGCUGUAAAUGAUGAUUGAAUAGUUCAUCUGAAUAAAGAUGUCGAUCCAAUUUUCGCCCCUAUCUGAUACAGCUG